GCAGCCAUGGUCAAGUGGUUAAGGCUUCUGACUCGAACUUAGAUGUAAUCUUCACGCGCAGGUCCAAAUCCUGCUGGCUGCG